rnacentral:rRNA from 1 species
AUUGAACGCUGGCGGAAUGCUUUACACAUGCAAGUCGAACGGUAGAGGGGGCAACCCCUUGAGAGUGGCGAACGGGUGAGUAAUAUAUCGGAACGUGCCCAGUCGUGGGGAUAACGUAGCGAAAGUUACGCUAAUACCGCAUACGAUCUAAGGAUGAAAGCGGGGGAUCGCAAGACCUCGCGCGAUUGGAGCGGCCGAUAUCAGAUUAGGUAGUUGGUGAGGUAAAGGCUCACCAAGCCAACGAUCUGUAGCUGGUCUGAGAGGACGACCAGCCACACUGGAACUGAGACACGGUCCAGACUCCUACGGGAGGCAGCAGUGGGGAAUUUUGGGACAAUGGACGCAAGUCUGAUCCAGCCAUUCCGCGUGCAGGAUGAAGGCCCUCGGGUUGUAAACUGCUUUUGUACAGGAAGAAACACUACUUCGUGAAGUAGCUUGACGGUACUGUAAGAAUAAGGAUCGGCUAACUCCGUGCCAGCAGCCGC